rnacentral:rRNA from 1 species
GUAGGUGGCAAGCGUUGUCCGGAAUUAUUGGGCGUAAGGCGCGCGCAGGUGGUUCUUUAAGUCUGAUGUGAAAGCCCCCGGGCUCAACCGGGGAGGGUCAUUGGAAACUGGGGAACUUGAGUGCAGGAGAGGAAAGUGGAAUUCCACGUGUAGCGGUGAAAUGCGUAGAUAUGUAGAGGAACACCAGUGGCGAAGGCGACUUUCUGGCCUGUAACUGACACUGAGGCGCGAAAGCGUGGGGAGCAAACAGGAUUAGAUACCCUGGUAGUCCACGCCGUAAACGAUGAGUGCUAAGUGUUGGGGGGUUUCCGCCCCUCAGUGCUGCAGCUAACGCAUUAAGCACUCCGCCUGGGGAGUACGGUCGCAAAGACUG